rnacentral:sRNA from 1 species
UACAAAAGGGUUAAGCGGUUUUAAAUUAC